AGUGAACGCUGGCGGUAGGCCUAACACAUGCAAGUCGAACGGCAGCACAGUAAGAGCUUGCUCUUACGGGUGGCGAGUGGCGGACGGGUGAGGAAUACAUCGGAAUCUACUUUUUCGUGGGGGAUAACGUAGGGAAACUUACGCUAAUACCGCAUACGACCUACGGGUGAAAGCAGGGGAUCUUCGGACCUUGCGCGAUUGGAUGAGCCGAUGUCGGAUUAGCUAGUUGGCGGGGUAAAGGCCCACCAAGGCGACGAUCCGUAGCUGGUCUGAGAGGAUGAUCAGCCACACUGGAGCUGAGACACGGUCCAGACUCCUACGGGAGGCAGCAGUGGGGAAUAUUGGACAAUGGGCGCAAGCCUGAUCCAGCCAUACCGCGUGGGUGAAGAAGGCCUUCGGGUUGUAAAGCCCUUUUGUUGGGAAAGAAAAGCAGCAGGUUAAUACCCCGCUGUUCUGACGGUACCCAAAGAAUAAGCACCGGCUAACUUCGUG
rnacentral:rRNA from 1 species